UUUAAAGGUACACCAUCCACCUAUGGUGGACCUUUUUUUGUAUAUAUGUUUAUAGAAUCAUGCAUGCAAGAGCACAUUUAUUAUAAUGUUCCCACAAUCUGUAUUAAGAAACUCAAUUUCUGUGGUCCAGAUUAUUCAAUUCCAUGUGGAUGGAAGGUCCUCCUAGUUUUUAGUGUUGUACAUAUAGACAUAUCUCUUCAUGGAAGUGUCUUUGAGUUCCAUCCUUGGAGAUGGGAGCUUUCUUCGGCCAUUGAAGAAAGAGAGAGACUAAGAAAGGAUGCUAUUGCAUGGAAGAAGCAGAAGAGUGGUGAAGUAGAGGGUGGAAAGGCACAUGAUUCCCUUGUCAAGGCAAUGCACUGUAAGAGAACUGGAGCGUAAUUUACAUGAACAAAGGCAAGUUAUUACUAGCCAACAUGAUGAACUAAAGUUGCUUAAUGAAAAGCUGAAUAAUGAAGCAAGGAGAAUUAAGUCUUUGGAACGGGAGGGUGAUCGACUUCGUUCUGAGAUUUCUUUACUGGAGUCCAAGGUGUGGUAAUUUGGUUCUGCAUGCAAUCUGUUUCUGGAAAUGGCACAACUGCUCAGAUGCCGAUUCGGUUGAGUGCAACCUAUCCACCCUUAAAACUGGGAGCACCCAAAUGUGGAAUUUAGGUACCAUUUGAGUCUAAGCCAAAUCACUAUUGUGUUCAAUACCUGUGGUAAUAAAUUGCUUGAGAUUUCUGGAAAGUGUGGGAGCAUGAAGGAUACCCACCAUGAUAAAUUGCUGAUAACCCAACAGAGAAAUAUAACUGGGUAAUCCAAGCAUACACCAGACCUGAAUCCUAUGACAGGUAAAAUUUGAAGUGUUGAACUUCAAAUAAUGAAGGUAUUUAACUCCAAUUUUUCAAACUCACACAUAGCUUUGUUAGGAGAUGCCUUACUAUAAUCAUUUGAUGAUGAGUACAACUGGUUUUAAUGUUUUCUUUUGCUAUUGGGUUCAGUCACAGUAGUUCUCUGCCACAAUGCAUGGUAAUUGUAUGUGAUGCCUCGGGUUUCUUUCUCUUGCCUAAAAUAUGUAGGGUGAAGCUGCUUGUUUAGAAGAAUUGUUGAUUUUAGCAGGUUUAGAUGUACAUGGGGAUGACAGUGUGAAGUAUCCGUAAUGGAAGUUUUUUAUAAGGGUGAGCAUGCAUAUGUUCCUAUAACUCAAGAAAGGUUACUGGCAGGUGAGUCUUCCACAACAUUAGACCAUUCAUGUACCGCAAGUGAUAUGCUAUUACACCACUAUUCUGCUCCAUACACUCAUCCAGAAAAAGAUGUCGCCUUCCCUUUAACAUAUUAUUUAGUUGCAUCUGUCAGGAUUAACUUUCUUACAAGUUAAUCCCUUCUAAUUGACACCAUAUAACAAAUCUUCCUUUCAUUUCCUUUUAGAAUCAAUUUCCAAUUGAAAAAUAGAUGCUUUUUACUUAGUUGUACUAUGGUCUUAUAAAACUGUACUCUUUCUUUUGAAUGUUUAAGGCAUUAUCUACGAGGAUUCAGCCUGGAUUGGAACAAAAGAUUGUUAU